rnacentral:lncRNA from 1 species
ACACCAUGCCAAUUUUCACCUUAAUCCGACCAAUAGAUCUUUAGAUAUCAUAGAAACCCUAUCCAACCUCAAACAACCACCUUCCAAAACCUUCUUGUGCUAAAAACUAGAUAUCUCUAAACCACGCUAUUAGAUUAUGAUAAAAUUUUUAUAUACUUAACUCACCUAAUAAUCCAAACAGUAUCAAAUUUUCAAUCGUAGAUGUUAUACCAAUUGCACAAACUAGGCAAAAUUGCUAGCCCUAAUUAUAUUAUAUAAAAUCCAAAUCACUGAUACAAACCCUAACUUCAAAGUCCUCAAAAAUCUUCCAAAAACAAUCCUUAUGCCUUUU